rnacentral:rRNA from 1 species
UAGGGAAUUUUCGUCAAUGGGGGAGACCCUGAACGAGCAAUGCCGCGUGUGUGAAGAAGGUCUUCGGAUCGUAAAGCACUGUUGUAAGUGAAGAAUGCCAUAUAGAGGAAAUGCUAUGUGGGUGACGGUAGCUUACCAGAAAGCCACGGCUAACUACGUGCCAGCAGCCGCGGUAAUACGUAGGUGGCAAGCGUUAUCCGGAAUCAUUGGGCGUAAAGGGUGCGUAGGUGGCACGAUAAGUCUGAAGUAAAAGGCAACAGCUCAACUGUUGUAUGCUUUGGAAACUGUCGAGCUAGAGUGCAGAAGAGGGCGAUGGAAUUCCAUGUGUAGCAGUAAAGUGCGUAGAUAUAUGGAGGAACACCAGUGGCGAAGGCGGUCGCCUGGUCUGUAACUGACACUGAUGCACGAAAGCGUGGGGGAGCAAAUAGGAUUAGAUACC